ensembl:lncRNA
CCCCCCCCCCCCCAUCUCCAUGCAUUAACAUGCGAGGCGCCCGCUGACCUUUCUUUGCACUGCGUGUUGGGGAGGAGCGCAGCGCAGCGCGGGCUGCGGGCGGAGGGGACGGCGAUGCAGCUUCUAAUUUUGCCAUUACUGUCACAGGGGCCAUUUGUCACCCAGCCCGGGGAGACUCCACGCAUGGACAGACAGCAGCCCUUCCAGUGCUCCUCGUUGAGAUCGGGGUGGGGGGGGGGGGGGGGGGGGGGCUUUACCAGCGUGGGAAGGGUGGGGAGUGGGUUUCAAUCACCGUGCUGAGCCAAAAAGGGGAGAAAAGACCCCAAAAGGCCGCCGACAGCCACCCACCACCAUGCAAUCCAAUGGCAUUUUGGGGAUAAAGCAAGAUGGAUGGCGCAUCCCUGGGUGUCCCCCCCCCCCCCCCCCCUUCCUCGCUGCGUGCCCCCAUCUGUAGAGCAGAAGCGAUCGCCCUCCAUCCAGAUAUUAAUUCUCCUAUUAGAUUAAAUAACGCGAAGGGUUGUGCUGCUUUCAUUACGCGUCGUGGGCGAGCGAGCUGCCUGCAGCCUCUGCCUCCUCCUCGCCUCCCGCCAGCAGAGCACUAAUUAGCAACAGGCAGGAGAGAUGCUCGUCUGCCUCCCGCCCUUUAUUAAUUGCUGGUUCGCUUUCGGCGCCGUGCAGCUUUGCUUCACCUCUGCUCGCUUUUUGGCCGCUCCCUCACAGCAGGGAUUUGCUGCUGCUGCUCACACCCAUUGGCUUUCAUCACCAAAAAGGCCCAAAUACCCCCCUGGGCAUUUCCCUCGUGGCGGAGAACAGCGGUGCCACCCGACGCGACGCAGCCCCAAACCAGGGGGCUUUUGACGGCCUUUUGGCACUCUCCAACCCACCUAUUUCAGGAGGGCACCCACUGCAAGCUCAGCUCUUCGGGCUUUAAGCCCAACUGGCGGCACUCAGCUCCUUUCAACACCGCACCUCUACUUUGCAGCGCCGCCGGAGCUCUGCAGCGCCCGCACGGCCGUCGGCCCUCUCUGCAAACGAAGGCUGCGCCGGGCCGCGGGACGCCGUGCGUUUAAAUCCGAGCGCACCUUUCCCUUCUCCUCCCAUCCCUGCCGUCUCUCAGCACCUCUCCCUGCCCGUCCUCCCCCCGCAGCCGGGAAGCGCGGCGCUGCGUCCCGUAAGCCGGGGAUGUGCGGGGAGUCGCUCCCUCGGAGGGCGAUGCUCUUCCCGACCCGGUUCGGCUCAGCAACCUGCGGGAAGGAGAGAUGGAUUCUGCCCCGACCGCCGAGGGAGAGGCAGUAAAUCACCUCCCAUUGACCGAGGAGUGCUUUCGUUCCGAGCAGAGUGCACUUUGCAUGCAUUUUGCAUGCGCUUCCAGCGCACUUUAAAUUAAUGCACUCUCGACUCAAAGCCUCUGCUAAUUCACAUUUCCCUGCACGAGCGUUCCCCUGUAGAUGUGUUCCCGACCCAAAGCCCUUUGCAGAUGGGCGGGGAGCCUCCACGUUGUCUUCCACCCUCAACCCGGGGCUAAAUUAACUGAGCUAAUCGCCCUUACGGCCACGCGUGGGGUGCGGGGGACGCAGCGAACACAUCCUGCCACGCUGCUCCAUCCCGAUGCUCGCCCUAUAGCGCCCUGCCUGCGGGCUGUGGGGCAGCUCUGGGCUCUGCCCUCCGCCUCCCAGAGGGAAAUAAUUCAUCUCGCUGCCCUCCUGCUGACUCUCUCCUGCAUUGAUCCGCUGCCAAUUGGCUGCUCUGCGAGAGGAGCGAGGGUGGAGGCUGCAGGAUUCACUGCCGAUGUUGUAAGGACAAAGUCAAGGGGACGCGCUCUUCUCAGAAACGCAUCCAGGCUGAUUUUGGGAAGAGGGGACGUUUGGGGUCCGGCUGCUGCGUGAUCCCACGUGGGCGAUGCUCUUGGUGUGGGAUGCAUUGGGCCCUCCUCUCGACCCCCCUUUACACGAGCAGCGUUGCGAAGGCUGGGAGGUGAUGAUGGUCCUGUCCUCAUUUUGAACCAAAGGGGUGAGACGUAAUGGCACUCAUUAGCUGUGUGCACUUUCCAUCUGCACAGCGUUGGUCAUUCAGGAGACGUGCCUAAAUAAGGAGCUCUGUGCCCCAAAUUCUCUGCACUCAAUGAAGAGAAAUCAGCACCUUCGGGUCUACGCUGCGGUACUAAUUGCGAACCCCCCAUGAAUCCCCCACUGAGGAGAGAGGAACCUUCAGAGCAGUGCCCCAAAUGUGUCUCCUCUCUUGGAAUGGAUCAUUGGACUCAACCCAAGGGUGGUUUGUUGGCAGAGCUGGAGGGCUGCUGCCCUGUGACGGUGGAAUGGAGCAGUUUGACUCAACCCAAUUGGUUGGCAAAGCCAGAAGGACGUCGUCCUUCUAUACUGGAAUGGAAAGUGGGACUCAACCCAAUGCUGAUUGGCUGGCAAGACCAGAUGGGUUCUGCCCUUUGAUACUGGAGUGGAAAGUGGGACUCAACCCAAUGCCAGCUGGUUGGCAAGGUCAGAUGGAUGCUGCCCUUCGACAACGCAAUGGAACAGUUUGACUCAACCCGAUGCGUAUUGGUUGGCAAGAUCGGAUGGAUGCUGCCUUCAAUACUGGAAUGGAACAUGGGACUCAACCCAACACUGGUUUGCUAGAAAAAUGAACAGACGCUGCCCUUUGGGAAAGCAGUUGAAGCUCAUCUGUAGCAUUCCCUGGGAAAUGAGGGAGCUCGUGGUGCUGGCGCAGGUCAUGGGGUGGAUGGCUCUGGUUGCUGCCGUGCCAUAAAUCCUGGCCAGGCGAGCCUGGCGGCACCGAGAGGUACCCACAAAGGGACAUCCAUCAACGUUAACCCAAAUCAACCUUUAAAAUGGAUUAGCCAGAGCACAUAAAACCCCAUUCUGGACACUUAGCCAGAAUUAGAGUUGGUUUAAUUCACUUGAGCUUAAUUCGCAAAGCUAAACCGAAUUAAGGCUGGCUGCGUUCGGAACGAGCAGCUCCACGCGUGGAGUUUAAUGUGAUUUACAUCGCCUGCUCUCCAUCCACACCUCUGGGUGAUCUAUGUGCCACCGGGGAGCAGAGCUGGCAGGGAAUGCAGGGUAAGAAUUACGGCUCCCGGCCGCGCUCGGCCGCUCCAGGAUGCUCAGCUGCCAACCUGAGUUGUGGCCGCGCCGAGGGCUCCGGUGCCACAUCCAGCAGUGAUGUGAGGGCGGAUGAUGUGCAAGGACAGGGCUGGGGGAGAGGGCUGGGAACUCAUCCUCAGGGCUCUGCUAAUGGCUGGGACCACCAGCGCGGCUCCUGCAGCCCGUCCUGGGGAUGGGUGUAGAUGAAUGGCGUCGGUAAAUGCGACAUCCCGAUGGCUUUUGGAUCCUUGCAUCCCAGGGUGGGGUUUUGCAGAGCUGGCCAGGAUGGGAGAGGAGUUUGGAGGCGUUUGUAGGAAUGCAUUCAGCGUUCCCCUCCGUCUCCCCAUGCAGAGCGAGGCCCUGGGAAGCAGCCCGUGCUGGGAACCUGACCCCACUGCAAUCCCUGCCCGCAGUGCCGUCAUGCACAAAGCACGGGCUGCGCAGCACAGUUCCUCCCUCCCCACCAUUCCCACUGGGGCUCCUCCUCACCAGACCCCCAUUUCCUCUGUUUUCCUCCCAGGAACGUCGCCACGCCGCUGCCAGGACCGAACAUCGCUGCAGGGUCACCGAGCCCUGGAGCAGCACGGAGGGAGGAGACGCUUCCAGUUCUCUUCUUGCAGCAGUGGGAGGGAUGGAAGGGACCCUCCAACCCCCCGAUGAAAUUAUAUCUACAUCGGCUGGAAUUCGGCUCUCGUUGACCCCAUCAAACCAGGGAAAUGCCUCCAUUGGGGCUCUGAGGAGGUUUCUUGUCUUCUCCUUAUUAAUCACAGGGAAGAAAGCGGGUCCCUUCCCCUCCCAUAAAUCUUGCUGCAGCGUUGGCCGGACGCUUGGCUCGCUGCCUCCGCGCUCUGCUCCUACAGGGGAUGAAUUGGGGAGGAAGAAGGGAGUUCCUGCACUGCUGUGUGCAGCUCUGGGCUCCUGCGGGGUGCUAAGCACACACUUAAUGCUGAGCAAAUGUUUCCAUGCUUCGUUGAGCCCGGGCAUUAAAAUCGUAAGGUUUGCUUUAAACUUCUGCCCUGCAUUUGCUCGAGCCUGAGGAUUUAUGGCUGGGGUUUGUGUGGAUGGGAAGAGGAGAAAUUUUAUCUGCUUGGGGAGAAAUGAGGCUCUCGUCCUCCCCACCCCGAUUGGUGCCCGCUGGUAACAUGCUGAGAAACCCCAAAGCACUGAACCUGGGGGGGAAUUAUGACCAUUUUCUGUUACCCACAGAGCAUCCGUAACCCUGAUGGACCACUGCGAGUGGAAAACCAGCGACCACCAACCCCACCUCUCCCUGUUUGUCAGUGAUGGAGGCGAUGGGCUCCGCUUCCCAUCAGCACACUUCGUCUUAUGGUCGGGAUGAGGAACUGCUCUGCAGGGGAGCCUCUCGCCAGCGCCGUGUUUCCAUUCGCCUGCGCGGAUCGACGUCUGCGGUGGGAGGGAAUUGGGGAAUGGGGUCAGGGCAGCCCGUGGUUGAAUGUCUCCUUGCGUUUGCCAUCGCCCUGCAGCACCCGGAGUCAUUUGGCUGAGUAGAAGAUGAGGUCCCCCUGAAGUGGAUGCUUGGGGUUCCACAAAGCCAACAAAACCCAACCAGCCCAGAGCCAUCUCACCACGCUGCGACCAUCUCAGAGCCAAAAGUGGCCCUCAGGGCUCACACGAUGCCAUGGGAGCACCUCAAGGGUGUGCUGGGACAUCCUCAUGUGGACGUGGAACCUGGCCUUGGCCAACAGGGGUUCUCGAGGCUCACAUGGCCCAAUGGGAAUGCCUCUAAGAUGUUUUGGGACAUCCUCAUGUGGACGUGGAACCUGGCUUUGGCCCACAGUGGUCCUCCAGGCUCUCCCAGUGCCAUAAGAACAUCUGUAGGGUGCAGUGGGAGAUCCUCCUACGGACAUGGAAGCCGGGCUUGGCCAACAGUGGUCCUCCAGGCUCACGUGAUGCCAUGGGAACACCUCUGGGGUGUAAUGGGGCAUCUUCAUGUGGACAUGGAACCCGGUCUUGGCCAACAGAGGUCCUCCAGGCUUGCACCACAGGAGCACCUCUGGGAUAUACUGGGACAUCCUCGUGUGGGGAUGGGGACACUCAGUCACAGCAACCGGUGCCGACGUCCCCAACCUGGAACACAGAGAGAAGAGGCCACAUCCUGCCCGAGGCCACCACCUUCCCCAUCCAUUCACUCCUUCAGCUCCAGAAAUACCCUGACAUGGGACACUCUGCAUCUCAGAGCUCUCCCCCCAACCAUCCACAGCGCCACGGAGCAAAGCCUGGGUGAGAAACACGUCCGGAUGGGGCUGAGCUCACAGUUCAGGGCGCCUUCCAGCCAAAGGAAGGGAUUCUUUUAUGGAAUCCUGGAGGAAAAAAGGGACUGCAGCACCCAUGGGCUGCCAGGAAGAGUGAGAUUCGUACUGCACAAAAGAUAGGAGAGGAUCACAGAGCACAAAGCCCUCAACGUCUUCCAUUAUAUCCACGAGAAUUAAAAGACAUGGAGCGAGCAUUGAGAACCCGCCGGCUUAAUAACAGAAGUAAAAAGUUGUUAAUCAGGCACGUGACCCUAUAAAAUAAAGGGAAUAAUUGAAAAGAUAUCUAAUUUAUCUAUUGAAUGCCUCCAACGCUCUCUUUAUCACCGAGAUGGACAGAAUAUAAUUGGUGCGGUGAAAGCCAUCAAUCUUAGGAAGUGGGCUUUCUGUACAAGAUACAACUAUUACUGUCAUAUUAUGACACCAUAAUAUCAAGAUCAAUGACAUUUUAAACGCACUCCAGUUAUGGGCAAUUGGUGACAAUAAAAACAGUGACAAAUUGAUGAAACAAGAGCCAAAUGAUCCGGCGUCUAAAAUAAACCAUAAAUAAUCUUCUUAAAAUAUAUAGAGAGAUAUAUCCACCGAACUCGCUGUGGUUGGGGGGCGGUGAUUCCUUCCACCCGAGGUCUCCAAUGGGCCACCGUUCUCAGGAAGGGGAAGCUUCCCCUUUUGAUUUAAGGGUCAUUCCCAUGCGGUUUAAUGAUGUUAUCGUUAGCAUAAUUGUUGCCAUAAAAAGGAAGGUUACGGCUUCGAAGGGCUGAGGAGCCAACGCGACGGCACAGUAAACAGCGGCACCGUUUCUAGAUCUUAUGGCACCAGGAUGGUGAUAUUCCCUCAGGGCCUCCGUGGGCCUUAAAUAAAGAUAAUAACAACCACAGCAAUUGUGUCCGGAGCUCUGCAGAGCGCUCUGAUUGCAGUUAUGGGGACAGCAUUUGGUUUUUUUUAUAUAGAAGGGGGGGAUGGGGGUCAGGGAGGCUGAAAUCCGACAGAUCCAUUCUUCUUCUGAAACCCAAUGAGGUUGGAAAAGACCUCCAAGACCAACAUUACAACCCCAACCCAUUCCCACCAUGAUCACUCAUCGAAUCAUGGAGUCAUUAAGGUUGGAAAUGACCUCUGAGACCAUUGAGUCCAAACCCAACCCAUUCCCACCAUGCUCACUCAUCAAAUCAAGGAGCCAUUAAGGUUGGAAAAGACCUCCAAGACCAACAGUCCAACCCCAACCCGUUCCCACCAUGCUCACUCAUAGAAUCAUGGAGUCUUAAGCUUGGAAAAGAGCUCCAACACCAACAACCCAACCCCAACCCCCCCACCGUGCCCACUAAAACAAGGCUUGGCGUCUCACUGCACCCAAUGGAGGCCGUGCACUGUGGACAUGGCUCUGCCCAACGGCCACCGUUCUCCAGUGGCUGAGCAUUGAGCCAUUUAAGCUCUGAAAAUAAUAAUGAAAAUAAUAAUGAUUUGUUUAAAAAGGGGGAGAAAACAGGGAAAAUCUCUCCAGUUUAUGAGUAAACGUCCCCCCAGAAAAGGAAAGCAAAUGGAGGGGAUGUCCUCAGUGCUGCUAGGGUGGGCGCAGAGGAGUGGAGCUGCCUGGUUCUGCCUCCGACUCGCUCCUUCUCCUCUAUAUUUGAUAAUCACCCCAAAACUGACACCACAACGCGGUGCAAAAUGGCUCAGAAAUGGAAACAACCCCCAACCCCGGCCCAGCUCCACGCUCCGCUCGGAUUCUUUUGGGAUGAAUCCAU